ACUCCUACGGGAGGCAGCAGUGGGGAAUAUUGCACAAUGGGCGCAAGCCUGAUGCAGCCAUGCCGCGUGUGUGAAGAAGGCCUUCGGGUUGUAAAGCACUUUCAGUCGUGAGGAAGGCGGGUACGUUAAUAGCGUAUUCGUUUGACGUUAGCGACAGAAGAAGCACCGGCUAACUCCGUGCCAGCAGCCGCGGUAAUACGGAGGGUGCGAGCGUUAAUCGGAAUUACUGGGCGUAAAGCGCAUGCAGGUGGUUUGUUAAGUCAGAUGUGAAAGCCCGGGGCUCAACCUCGGAAUAGCAUUUGAAACUGGCAGACUAGAGUACUGUAGAGGGGGGUAGAAUUUCAGGUGUAGCGGUGAAAUGCGUAGAGAUCUGAAGGAAUACCGGUGGCGAAGGCGGCCCCUGGACAGAUACUGACACUCAGAUGCGAAAGCGUGGGAGCAAACAGGAUUAGAUACCCCGUGGUAGGACAGUG
rnacentral:rRNA from 1 species